GAAGCUCAGCGGUAGAGCGCAUGCUUAGCAUGCACGAGGUCCUGGGUUCAAUCCCUAGC
rnacentral:tRNA from 1 species